GACGAACGCUGGCGGCGUGCUUAACACAUGCAAGUCGAACGGAAAGGUCCGGCUCUUGCGGGUUGCUCGAGUGGCGAACGGGUGAGUAACACGCGAGUAACCUCCCCCUGACUUUGGGAUAACAUCAGGAAACUGGGGCUAAUAUCGGAUAGGAGCUCCUGCUGCAUGUGGUGGGUUGGAAAGUUUCGGCUGUUGGGUAUGGACUGGAGGCUUAUCAGCUUGUUGGUGGGGUAGUGGCUUACCAAGGUUUUGACGGGUAGCCGGCCUGAGAGGGUGGCCGGCCACAUGGGGACUGAGGUAGGGACCAGACUGCUACGGGAGGCAGUGGUGGGGAAUAUUGCACAACGGGCGGAAGCGUGAUGCAGCAGCGCUGCGUGCGGGAUGCCGGCCUUCGGGUUAUAAACCGCUUUGGCCGGUGACGAAGCGUGAGUGACGGUAAUGGGUAAAGAAGCACCGGCUAACUACGUG
rnacentral:rRNA from 1 species